UAAAACUAUUCUUUUUACUUUUAAUUUAAUAAGACACAUGAAUUGAGGAGAUUAUGGAAUGCAUUAUGAUUUACAAUGCCUGCUGGCAUUUUUAUGUUCUCAGCUGUUCCUUUGCACCAUUGAUUACGUAAAGCCUAAACUGUGUAAUUAAGGGACCGUCCCACUAAUGUGUUCUGGUGGAUUUAUGGCCCCCAGGUCAUCGACGAUCUGAGCACUUUGUGUAUUGGACCAUUAAUUUCAAAUGCAUACUAACAUAGGCAAACACAUUGGCAUUAAGGAGAAUCUAUAAGAAGAAGCUAUUUCAAAUUCAGGAGGUAGCUUUCACCUGAUUUUAAUUUACCAAAACAAUUUAAAAACCUGAUUACCAGAAAUCCUAAUUAACUAGAAAUUUUUUCCUCCAGAGUCCUUUUUUAGGAGAAAAUGGGAAAUUUGAAGAAAAGAAAUUAAUAACAAGGGGUCUAGAUAUUU
rnacentral:lncRNA from 1 species